ACAUUUGCUGACCAAGAACUGGGAUGUUUUCCCAGCUUAUUGUGCGGAGACUUGCAACAGCUGCAUCUGGCAAGCCACUGGGUGUGGUGCCAGCAAAUGCUCGCUACAAGAAAUUACAGCAAUUGCAAAAUGUUUUCUGCCGUGAUGAUGGCUUGCUGGUGUGGCAGAAGAUGGGAGCAAGAGACAUGUUUAUGUACUACACCACCCUUUUGAUUACUAUUGGAGGGCUUAUACCGUGCCUGACCAUCAUUGGAAAGAUGUCUUUCCCUAAAAAACAAGAGUAGUUUUAUUCAUUAUCAAGUGUUUAUCUUCAGCAUUUGAAAUCUAGUAGGGUCUUAAAUCAUGUACAGUCCUGUUGAACUGAUUGUUGUGUCUCAACAGAAAGACCUUCAGGUGUAAGCACUCUCUUUUGAUAAUGAUGGCAAUUAAGAGAAAUUACCCUAACAUUGGUUUUCAUCAAAUCUUCUAAGUUAAAAAUUAACCAUUUUUUUAUUGAAUAUUUUGUUGAAACUCAAAGACAUGAAAGGGAAAUUUACAUUAUUGCAGUAGAGUGAGUGAAAAUGAAAAACAUGGUAUCAAA